rnacentral:rRNA from 1 species
UAGGGAAUCUUCGGCAAUGGACGAAAGUCUGACCGAGCAACGCCGCGUGAGUGAAGAAGGUUUUCGGAUCGUAAAACUCUGUUGUUAGAGAAGAACAAGGACGUUAGUAACUGAACGUCCCCUGACGGUAUCUAACCAGAAAGCCACGGCUAACUACGUGCCAGCAGCCGCGGUAAUACGUAGGUGGCAAGCGUUGUCCGGAUUUAUUGGGCGUAAAGCGAGCGCAGGCGGUGUCUUAAGUCUGGUGUGAAAGCCCCCGGCUCAACCGGGGAGGGUCAUUGGAAACUGGGAGACUUGAGUGCAGAAGAGGAGAGUGGAAUUCCAUGUGUAGCGGUGAAAUGCGUAGAUAUAUGGGGGAACACCAGUGGCGGACGCGGCUCUCUGGUCUGUAUCUGACGCUGAGGCUCGAAAGCGUGGGGAGCAAACAGG